UUAACUCGGUCAAAAACCCUUCCUUUCUCCUUCAGUAGUUUUCUGUCCCUUCAUCAGUGGCACUUGCAGCGAGCAGUAUAAGCAUUUGAAGUUCUGCGACUAUCUGGUACGACAGAGAGCGAGUCGAACAGCCAUGCAGACUCGUCUGUGAAUCACACGUGCUGGGAAGAAGGAGUUGCUGACAAAUACCAGAUGAGCUAGCAUUACCAUCUCCAUAAAGAUUUUUUUCCCUUCCUCUUCCCAAAAAUGAUCAGCUGCGAAUCUCUUUUUCAAGAAACCAUAGAAUAACCAGAAGAUACAGAGUUAUCUGGUCUGAAGCAUGUUGGAACAUACCCCCUCCGGCAGCGCCUGUUAAGGGAAGAGUUUGCCAAGAUGCACGAGGAAAUCUAUGUUGCAUCAGCUGCCCUUCCUGUAGGGAAGAAGCAGCCGAGGUGCUCCAAAUAAUAGAAGAAUCGCUGUAAUCGAGUGGGUACAACGCGUCUUCUUUCCGAAGUCAUGAAGCUAAAAUUCCCACCCUGAUCUGCAGCAAGCUAGAGAAGCUGGAGCUGCUGAGCCCCUAGCCCUCAGGUGUCACGCGGUGUUCCCUCAGCAGGCCUGCUCUGACCCGGGGCAGAGGUGUGGAGGCUCUCGCAGCAACACCAGAGUCUAAUGAACUUUUACAGCUCGUCUCUUCUGAGGAGUCUGGUGGUGCGCUGCGCCCGAGGCCAUCCAUCACUGCGGAAGGAGGCUGCUUCUGCACGAUGACGCUAAUCUGCUGACCGAAAAAGCAGACGUGCAGCGUGCUUUCCCAUAAGCCGUGUCACGGUCUUCGUACCACAUGCAGCCAGCUGCUGAGUAAGGGUUUGAGCCAGAGCCCACUGAGUCAGAGGGAACCUCUCCUCGGACGUCGGGCGCCUUCGGAGUCCUUCCACCGGGGCGCGAUGUCUUUAAGUAGUAACUUUAUACAGUGAAGGACCCUGAUUUGGCUAGUAGCCUUCAGAAGAGGCUUCAGAAGAUUAUACCCGUCCACUUUUAAAUAUCCUAGCUUUGAUUUUCAUCAUGGUUCUACUUAAGAAACCUAUUAGUAUCUUGUUUGCCCUGUUUUUUAUCUUACUAUGAUUUUUUUGAAUUUGUUGCCAAGACCUUUCUCAUAGUUUUCAGAGACAAACCAAUAGCUUUAAAGAUUAAUAGUCUGCCCAAAUGCCUGCAGGAUCUCCACAACUGAGAAAAUAACUACCCAUGAUUUACAAAUCUUUUAAAAUUUAGAAGUGCAUGUGGACCACAGCAAAAGAGCUUCUGCGUUAACAGAGUAGAGAACUCUUUUCAGUGUUUUUUGUAAGAAUAAUCUCUAUACUUUUAGGACGUUGUUCUGUCUUUCUCACUAGCUCAAAUGUAGGUGAAUCCCUCGCUUUAGCUCUGUAGUAAGACACAAUUCAGACCACUGUUUAUCCUUAAUUUCUAGUCAAGAAAGUUGAAGGUUUUAUGUAUGCUCAGCAGGUGGUGUGGCUCUCUUAGUGUUAUAUCAAGAUUGAAAACAAAUAAUCUUUAAAACCAUAAUGAAUUACCAGAAUUAUGUAUAGUCAUUGGAAUUAACUGCAUUGCGUAACUCGUACUAUACCUCUCUGCCCAGAAAUGCGUCUUGCUUUCCGGAAAGGUACUUCAUCCUUCUAGGAUUUUUCAAGACAAAUUUUCUUAAAUCAACAAAAGAUGAUAAACCUUAACUCCAGUGACCUCCUGCAGUUGUGCUCUCCAAGGACCUGCUUGUCUUUGGUUCCUGUGGGCUGUGUAGGGUAAAAAAGCCUACGGUGGAAAACCUCUUCAAGUCCAGCGGACAUUGAAGCACUUUGGGGCUUCACGGCAGCCCCCGUACACCUCCUUUGCAUUAGUCAAGCUGUUCCUUUAUAUUUUCCUUUGUUUCCUACCCCUUAGCAUGACCUUUUGGAUUCUUCCCUGUAGCUGGAUCUCUUCCAGGUUAGCUUUAAAUUCUGCUCUUAAUUUUGCAGGGGCAACUGCCAUCCAAGUCAUCCCAGUCGCUGUGGGAAUACGCUUGUGGUAUGGUACUUGUCUGCCUACUUUGCAGCUUGCAACACUUCUAGCUGAUUUAGUUGCAGCCUCUCUCUUCUCCGUUCUGUUCUUCAUCAGCUGCUUGGCCGU